rnacentral:rRNA from 1 species
GGUUGCAUCCAUUCGUGGGCUGAAAAAUUGGUGGCUGGUCGCAGCACUCCCUUGCCGCUCACGGCAAUUGGAGUGUAGCCCUGACAUGCAGACGAGGACAAAGUGCUUCUGUUCGACCCGUCUUGAAACACGGACCAAG